AUAAAUAAUUUUUAUAGUGUAAAAGCAAAAUAAAUUCAUAUAUAUUGUAAUACAGUAAGUCAAAGUAUUUAAUUAAAUUUACAGAAACAAGUGGGCCAUCGAAUAACCAAAAGUAAGAAAGAUUGUGAACCUACAGUUUGAAGGAUGCAAAUCCAAUGGUAGCCUCGAUGAAAUUAGCUAUCUAUAAACUAUCCUGAGCCUGAAAUGGGUGAAAAUGAGGGUGCUGAGAUUAUAUAAUCCCAGUGAGUAAACAAAUACCAUCUAAAACAUCUAAAGUUGAGUAAAUAGAGACAGAUAAAAAAAUUUAACAUACUGUAAUUCAUCACCUUUCAACUCGUUUCAACCAAAUAAAAUCAAUUCAUAUAAAUCGAGUAAUCAACAUGGCUUAUGAAUUUCUUAAAACUUUGGCUUGAGCCAAAAUCAUUCUCAUACUCAAUUAUUAGGGAUACCAUGGUUGAGGGCUAUCCCAACUGAGACCGCCAAGGCUGUUAAAAAGUUAUGUACGCAUAAAUCGUGUUUUUAUUUUGAAAACAUAGCCGUUCCUUGGCAUUGGCUGAGUUCACCUUCACAUGGUGGUUGGGCAUGAAGUGAACUCUAAAGUGUUAACCUCAAGAGUUAUCCAUCCGGGUCUCUCACUGAGGUAUGAAUAUAAUAGGAUUACCGUGCCCCUCUAAUAGGCUGAUCCACGGAACCCAUCCACUGUAGCGAAUAAACCCACCAUACAAUAAAAUUUGCAAUAGCAUGACAUGGCAAUUAUUUUAUUUUACAACCUCUUAAGGCAAAUUAACAGUUCAUACAUUUUCAACACAUUUACCAAAUCAACCAUUCAUGCCAAUAUUAUCAUAAGCCAUUCAAUUCAAACCAUGAUUUAUAACACAACAAUUGGUCUCCAAUUACUCCAUUUUCCAAAACCAUCAUUCAAUUUCAAGACAAUUUUAUAAAAUCAUUUCAUUUAAUCACAUUUUGCUUAUAAAACAUAAAGAUUUGCCAUUUAAACUCAUUUUUCAUAAAAUCGCAAAAUCGGAUAAAAACAACUUUAGAUAAUUAAGACGAUAGUAAGGUUACUCACUGUUUCAGGAGUCGAAUUCCAAGUACUCCGAUUCUUGAUCCUCGGGGUACUAUCUCUUUACUUUUGCCAGAAUGCUCCCCACCUAGACAUAAUGCCAAUAAGCCAUUUACUANAGGAGUCGAAUUCCAAGUACUCCGAUUCUUGAUCCUCGGGGUACUAUCUCUUUACUUUUGCCAGAAUGCUCACCACCUAGACAUAAUGCACAAUAAGCCAUUUACUAUAUUGUGCUAAAUUGUUAUAAAACCAAUUUAGGCUUUAUACUAAUGUAUAAAAUGGGAUGCAAAUUGUUUGGAUUAUCAUCUAAACACGGUGUUCUACACAAAUUCAAUUAUGUACCUAAAUAAAACGGUAUUGGCCUAAUUUAAUCUAUCUCUUGAUUAAUUGGCCAAUAUGUCAAAUUUAACUCCAAAUAAAUUCCAUUUUUCUCCUAAUACUCCAAAUCAUCAAACACAAGUCAAAUAGCAUAAAAUCUAGCAAAAUCAUUUUCACAUUUUCUCUUGGAAAAUUAGGCCAUGGUGGGUGCAUCAAUACUAUGACUUUUCCUACUUGAUUUUCUCACCAUAAUUCAUCAUUUCCUAACCAAUUCACUUGAAAUUAAAUCAAAAUCAUCAUCCACACUCUACAUGGAAAAUUCAGGCAAUGAAGAAUCCAUGAAGAACAUGUGAUUUUUCUUACUUGUUUUCCUUUUAAACAUGAUAAAUCAACUAUAAAUACUAAAAUAUCUCAAAAUCUAACCAAAAUAAAUCAUCAAAUAUUCCCUCUCUAAAUUCAGUUAACCAUGAAUCCUUCAUGAUAUCUUGUGAUUCAACCAUGGAAAAUGCAAAAUAAUGCAUGGGAAAGGUAGAUCACAAGUCAAAAUCAAGAAAUUUUACCUUUGAUUGCUUGAUUACUUGAAUUUUCACACUUUUCCCUUGAAUUUUUCCACCUAGGGUUUGUGUUCUUCUUUUCUUCUUUUG
rnacentral:lncRNA from 1 species